rnacentral:rRNA from 1 species
CGGAUGCUGACGAGUGGCGAACGGGUGAGUAAUAUAUUGGAACGUGCCCAGUCGUGGGGGAUAACGCAGCGAAAGCUGUGCUAAUACCGCAUACGAUCUACGGAUGAAAGCGGGGGACCUUCGGGCCUCGCGCGAUUGGAGCGGCCGAUAUCAGAUUAGGUUGUUGGUGAGGUAAAAGCUCACCAAGCCGACGAUCUGUAGCUGGUCUGAGAGGACGACCAGCCACACUGGAACUGAGACACGGUCCAGACUCC